GACGAACGCUGGCGGCGUGCCUAAUACAUGCAAGUCGAACGCAUUUUCUUUCACCGUAGCUUGCUACACCGAAAGAAAUGAGUGGCGAACGGGUGAGUAACACGUGGGUAACCUGCCCAUCAGCGGGGGAUAACACUUGGAAACAGGUGCUAAUACCGCAUAAUUCCAUUUACCGCAUGGUAGAUGGAUGAAAGGCGCUUUGCGUCACUGAUGGAUGGACCCGCGGUGCAUUAGCUAGUUGGUGGGUAACGGCCUACCAAGGCUGCGAUGCAUAGCCGACCUGAGAGGGUGAUCGGCCACACUGGGACUGAGACACGGCCCAGACUCCUACGGGAGGCAG
rnacentral:rRNA from 1 species